GACAGAGGUGGCAAGCGUUGUUCGGAUUUAUUGGGUGUAAAGGGCAGGUAGGUGGCUAAGUAAGUCUGACGUGAAAUCCCAGGGCUCAACCCUGGAACUGCGUUGGAAACUACUUGGCUUGAGUACCGGAGAGGUAAGGGGAAUUCUCGGUGUAAGGGUGAAAUCUGUAGAUAUCGAGAGGAACACCAGUGGCGAAGGCGCCUUACUGGCCGGUUACUGACGCUGAGCUGCGAAAGCAAGGGGAGCAAACAGG
rnacentral:rRNA from 1 species